rnacentral:rRNA from 1 species
GACGAACGCUGGCGGCGCGCUUAACACAUGCAAGUCGAGCGAAGCGGCGGACGGGUUAGUCACACGUGAGUAACCUUCCUUAGACAUUGGGAUAGCCUCGGGAACCCGGGAUUAAUACCAAAUGUUCUAAGAUGGACUCGCGUCCCAUUAGCUAGUUGGUGGGUAACGGCCCACCAAGGCGACGAUGGGUAGCCGGCAUGAGAGGGUGAACGGCCACAUUGGAAGUGAGAAACGGUCCAAACUCUACGGGAGGGAACAGUGGGGAAUAUUGCACAAUGGAGGGAACUCUGAUGCAGCGAGGCCGCGUGAACGAAGAAGGCUUUCGAGACGUAAAGUUCUUUUAUAUGGGAAGCGGUACCAUAAGAAAAAGCCCCGGCUAACUACGUGCCAGCCGCCGCGGUAAUUC